rnacentral:rRNA from 1 species
GGUUAAGCGACUAAGCGUACACGGUGGAUGCCCUGGCAGUCAGAGGCGAUGAAGGACGUGCUAAUCUGCGAAAAGCGUCGGUAAGGUGAUAUGAACCGUUAUAACCGGCGAUGUCCGAAUGGGGAAACCCAGUGCAAUUCGUUGCACUAUCGUUAACUGAAUACAUAGGUUAACGAGGCGAACCGGGGGAACUGAAACAUCUAAGUACCCCGAGGAAAAGAAAUCAACCGAGAUUCCCCCAGUAGCGGCGAGCGAACGGGGAGCAGCCCAGAGUCUGAAUCAGCUUGUGUGUUAGUGGAACGGUCUGGAAAGUCCGACGGUACAGGGUGAUAGUCCCGUACACCAAAAUGCACAGGCUGUGAACUCGAAGAGUAGGGCGGGACACGUGGUAUCCUGUCUGAAUAUGGGGGGACCAUCCUCCAAGGCUAAAUACUCCUGACUGACCGAUAGUGAACCAGUACCGUGAGGGAAAGGCGAAAAGAACCCCGGCGAGGGGAGUGAAAAAGAACCUGAAACCGUGUACGUACAAGCAGUGGGAGCACCUUCGGGUGUGACUGCGUACCUUUUGUAUAAUGGGUCAGCGACUUAUAUUCUGUAGCAAGGUUAACCGUAUAGGGGAGCCGCAGGGAAACCGAGUCUUAACUGGGCGUUAAGUUGCAGGGUAUAGACCCGAAACCCGGUGAUCUAGCCAUGGGCAGGUUGAAGGUUGGGUAACACUAACUGGAGGACCGAACCGACUAAUGUUGAAAAAUUAGCGGAUGACUUGUGGCUGGGGGUGAAAGGCCAAUCAAACCGGGAGAUAGCUGGUUCUCCCCGAAAGCUAUUUAGGUAGCGCCUCGUGAACUCAUCUUCGGGGGUAGAGCACUGUUUCGGCUAGGGGGUCAUCCCGACUUACCAACCCGAUGCAAACUACGAAUACCGAAGAAUGUUAUCACGGGAGACACACGGCGGGUGCUAACGUCCGUCGUGAAGAGGGAAACAACCCAGACCGCCAGCUAAGGUCCCAAAGUCAUGGUUAAGUGGGAAACGAUGUGGGAAGGCACAGACAGCCAGGAUGUUGGCUUAGAAGCAGCCAUCAUUUAAAGAAAGCGUAAUAGCUCACUGGUCGAGUCGGCCUGCGCGGAAGAUGUAACGGGGCUAAACCAUGCACCGAAGCUGCGGCAGCGACACUAUGUGUUGUUGGGUAGGGGAGCGUUCUGUAAGCCUGCGAAGGUGACCUGUGAGGGUUGCUGGAGGUAUCAGAAGUGCGAAUGCUGACAUAAGUAACGAUAAAGCGGGUGAAAAGCCCGCUCGCCGGAAGACCAAGGGUUCCUGUCCAACGUUAAUCGGGGCAGGGUGAGUCGACCCCUAAGGCGAGGCCGAAAGGCGUAGUCGAUGGGAAACAGGUUAAUAUUCCUGUACUUGGUGUUACUGCGAAGGGGGGACGGAGAAGGCUAUGUUAGCCGGGCGACGGUUGUCCCGGUUUAAGCAUGUAGGCUGAUUGUCCAGGCAAAUCCGGAUAAUCAAGGCUGAGGUGUGAUGACGAGGCACUACGGUGCUGAAGUAACAAAUGCCCUGCUUCCAGGAAAAGCCUCUAAGCAUCAGGUAACAUUAAAUCGUACCCCAAACCGACACAGGUGGUCAGGUAGAGAAUACCAAGGCGCUUGAGAGAACUCGGGUGAAGGAACUAGGCAAAAUGGUGCCGUAACUUCGGGAGAAGGCACGCUGGUGUGUAGGUGAAGCCCCUGCGGGUGGAGCUGAGACCAGUCGAAGAUACCAGCUGGCUGCAACUGUUUAUUAAAAACACAGCACUGUGCAAACACGAAAGUGGACGUAUACGGUGUGACGCCUGCCCGGUGCCGGAAGGUUAAUUGAUGGGGUUAUCCGUAAGGAGAAGCUCUUGAUCGAAGCCCCGGUAAACGGCGGCCGUAACUAUAACGGUCCUAAGGUAGCGAAAUUCCUUGUCGGGUAAGUUCCGACCUGCACGAAUGGCGUAAUGAUGGCCAGGCUGUCUCCACCCGAGACUCAGUGAAAUUGAACUCGCUGUGAAGAUGCAGUGUACCCGCGGCAAGACGGAAAGACCCCGUGAACCUUUACUAUAGCUUGACACUGAACAUUGAGCCUUGAUGUGUAGGAUAGGUGGGAGGCUUUGAAGCGUGGACGCCAGUCUGCGUGGAGCCAACCUUGAAAUACCACCCUUUAAUGUUUGAUGUUCUAACGUUGGCCCCUGACCGGGGUUGCGGACAGUGUCUGGUGGGUAGUUUGACUGGGGCGGUCUCCUCCCAAAGCGUAACGGAGGAGCACGAAGGUUAGCUAAUCCUGGUCGGACAUCAGGAGGUUAGUGCAAUGGCAUAAGCUAGCUUGACUGCGAGCGUGACGGCGCGAGCAGGUGCGAAAGCAGGUCAUAGUGAUCCGGUGGUUCUGAAUGGAAGGGCCAUCGCUCAACGGAUAAAAGGUACUCCGGGGAUAACAGGCUGAUACCGCCCAAGAGUUCAUAUCGACGGCGGUGUUUGGCACCUCGAUGUCGGCUCAUCACAUCCUGGGGCUGAAGUAGGUCCCAAGGGUAUGGCUGUUCGCCAUUUAAAGUGGUACGCGAGCUGGGUUUAGAACGUCGUGAGACAGUUCGGUCCCUAUCUGCCGUGGGCGCUGGAGAAUUGAGGGGGGCUGCUCCUAGUACGAGAGGACCGGAGUGGACGCAUCACUGGUGUUCGGGUUGUCAUGCCAAUGGCACUGCCCGGUAGCUAAAUGCGGAAGAGAUAAGUGCUGAAAGCAUCUAAGCACGAAACUUGCCCCGAGAUGAGUUCUCCCUGAGACUUUAAGUCUCCUGAAGGAACGUUAAAGACGAUGACGUUGAUAGGCCGGGUGUGUAAGCGCAGCGAUGCGUUGAGCUAACCGGUACUAAUGAACCGUGAGGCUUAACCUU